rnacentral:rRNA from 1 species
AUUGAACGCUGGCGGCAGGCCUAACACAUGCAAGUCGAACGGUAACAGGAAACAGCUUGCUGUUUCGCUGACGAGUGGCGGACGGGUGAGUAAUGUCUGGGAAACUGCCUGAUGGAGAGGGAUAACUACUGGAAACGGUAGCUAAUACCGCAUAACGUCGCGAGACCAAAGAGGGGGACCUUCGGGCCUCUUGCCAUCGGAGGUGACCAGAUGGGAUGAGCUUGUUGGUGGGGUAACGGCUCACCAAGGCGACGAUCCCUAGCUGGUCUGAGAGGAUGACCAGCCACACUGGAACUGAGACACGGUCCAGACUCCUACGGGAGGCAGCAGUGGGGAAUAUUGCACAAUGGGCGCAAGCCUGAUGCAGCCAUGCCGCGUGUAUGAAGAAGGCCUUCGGGUUGUAAAGUACUUUCAGCGGGGAGGAAGGGAGUAAAGUUAAUACCUUUACUCAUUGACGUUACCCGCAGAAGAAGCACCGGCUAACUCCGUGCCAGCCGCCGCCGUAA